rnacentral:rRNA from 1 species
GGAUAACUACUGGAAACGGUAGCUAAUACCGCAUAACGUCGCAAGACCAAAGAGGGGGACCUUCGGGCCUCUUGCCAUCGGAUGUGCCCAGAUGGGAUUAGCUAGUAGGUGGGGUAAAGGCUCACCUAGGCGACGAUCCCUAGCUGGUCUGAGAGGAUGACCAGCCACACUGGAACUGAGACACGGUCCAGACUCCUACGGGAGGCAGCAGUGGGGAAUAUUGCACAAUGGGCGCAAGCCUGAUGCAGCCAUGCCGCGUGUAUGAAGAAGGCCUUCGGGUUGUAAAGUACUUUCAGCGGGGAGGAAGGGAGUAAAGUUAAUACCUUUGCUCAUUGACGUUACCCGCAGAAGAAGCACCGGCUAACUCCGUGCCAGCAGCCGCGGUAAUACGGAGGGUGCAAGCGUUAAUCGGAAUUACUGGGCGUAAAGCGCACGCAGGCGGUUUGUUAAGUCAGAUGUGAAAUCCCCGGGCUCAACCUGGGAACUGCAUCUGAUACUGGCAAGCUUGAGUCUCGUAGAGGGGGGUAGAAUUCCAGGUGUAGCGGUGAAAUGCGUAGAGAUCUGGAGGAAUACCGGUGGCGAAGGCGGCCCCCUGGACGAAGACUGACGCUCAGGUGCGAAAGCGUGGGGAGCAAACAGGAUUAGAUACCCUGGUAGUCCACGCCGUAAACGAUGUCGACUUGGAGGUUGUGCCCUUGAGGCGUGGCUUCCGGAGCUAACGCGUUAAGUCGACCGCCUGGGGAGUACGGCCGCAAGGUUAAAACUCAAAUGAAUUGACGGGGGCCCGCACAAGCGGUGGAGCAUGUGGUUUAAUUCGAUGCAACGCGAAGAACCUUACCUGGUCUUGACAUCCACGGAAGUUUUCAGAGAUGAGAAUGUGCCUUCGGGAACCGUGAGACAGGUGCUGCAUGGCUGUCGUCAGCUCGUGUUGUGAAAUGUUGGGUUAAGUCCCGCAACGAGCGCAACCCUUAUCCUUUGUUGCCAGCGGUCCGGCCGGGAACUCAAAGGAGACUGCCAGUGAUAAACUGGAGGAAGGUGGGGAUGACGUC